rnacentral:rRNA from 1 species
GAUGAACGCUGGCGGCGUGCUUAACACAUGCAAGUCGAACGAAGCGCUUGAAACGGAUUCUUCGGAUGAAGUUUCCUGUGACUGAGUGGCGGACGGGUGAGUAACGCGUGGGUAACCUGCCUCAUACAGGGGGAUAACAGUUAGCAAUGGCUGCUAAUACCGCAUAAGCGCACGGCAUCGCAUUACGCAGUGUGAAAAACUACGGUGGUAUGAGAUGGACCAGCGUUGGAUUAGCUAGUUGGCAGGGUAACGGCCUACCAAGGGGACGAUCCAUAGCCGGCCUGAGAGGGUGGACGACCACAUUGGGACUGAGACACGGCCCAGACUCCUACGGGAGGCAGCAGUGGGGAAUAUUGCACAAUGGGGGAAACCCUGAUGCAGCGACGCCGCGUGAGCGAAGAAGUAUUUCGGUAUGUAAAGCUCUAUCGGCAGGGAAGAAAAUGACGGUACCUGACUAAGAAGCCCCGGCUAACUACGUGCCAGCCGCCGCGGUAA